rnacentral:rRNA from 1 species
UAAUGCUUAGGAAUCUGCCUAUUAGUGGGGGACAACAUUUCGAAAGGAAUGCUAAUACCGCAUACGUCCUACGGGAGAAAGCAGGGGAUCUUCGGACCUUGCGCUAAUAGAUGAGCCUAAGUCGGAUUAGCUAGUUGGUGGGGUAAAGGCCUACCAAGGCGACGAUCUGUAGCGGGUCUGAGAGGAUGAUCCGCCACACUGGGACUGAGACACGGCCCAGACUCCUACGGGAGGCAGCAGUGGGGAAUAUUGGACAAUGGGCGCAAGCCUGAUCCAGCCAUGCCGCGUGUGUGAAGAAGGCCUUAUGGUUGUAAAGCACUUUAAGCGAGGAGGAGGCUACUUUAGUUAAUACCUAGAGAUAGUGGACGUUACUCGCAGAAUAAGCACCGGCUAACUCUGUGCCAGCAGCCGCGGUAAUACAGAGGGUGCAAGCGUUAAUCGGAUUUACUGGGCGUAAAGCGCGCGUAGGCGGCUAAUUAAGUCAAAUGUGAAAUCCCCGAGCUUAACUUGGGAAUUGCAUUCGAUACUGGUUAGCUAGAGUGUGGGAGAGGAUGGUAGAAUUCCAGGUGUAGCGGUGAAAUGCGUAGAGAUCUGGAGGAAUACCGAUGGCGAAGGCAGCCAUCUGGCCUAACACUGACGCUGAGGUGCGAAAGCAUGGGGAGCAAACAGGAUUAGAUACCCUGGUAGUCCAUGCCGUAAACGAUGUCUACUAGCCGUUGGGGCCUUG